UAGCCAUGGUGAGGGCAUUGAAUAGGAAAACCUCUCCCAUGCCUCAUGGAACGGCUCGCCUUCAGCUUGCGAGAAAUUUGCAAUCUUUCUUCUCAAUUC
rnacentral:snoRNA from 1 species